rnacentral:rRNA from 1 species
CAGCCGCCGCGGGAACACGUAGGUGGCAAGCGUUGUCCGGAAUUAUUGGGCGUAAAGCGCGCGCAGGUGGUUUAAUAAGUCUGAUGUGAAAGCCCACGGCUCAACCGUGGAGGGUCAUUGGAAACUGUUAAACUUGAGUGCAGGAGAGAAAAGUGGAAUUCCUAGUGUAGCGGUGAAAUGCGUAGAGAUUAGGAGGAACACCAGUGGCGAAGGCGGCUUUUCGGCCUGUAACUGACACUGUGGCGCGAAAGCGUGGGGAGCAAACAGGAUUAGAGACCCCCGUAGUCCCUGUCUCUUAUAC